GAUGAACGCUAGCGGCAGGCUUAACACAUGCAAGUCGAGGGGCAGCACGUCUUCGGAUGGUGGCGACCGGCGCACGGGUGCGUAACGCGUAUAGAACCUACCUUUUACAGGGGAAUAGCCCAGAGAAAUUUGGAUUAAUGCCCCAUAGUAUUAUUAGAUGGCAUCAUUUGAUAAUUAAACAUUUAUGGGUAAAAGAUGGCUAUGCGUUCUAUUAGCUAGAUGGUAAGGUAACGGCUUACCAUGGCGACGAUAGAUAGGGGUCCUGAGAGGGAGAUCCCCCACACUGGUACUGAGACACGGACCAGACUCCUACGGGAGGCAGCAGUGAGGAAUAUUGGACAAUGGGCGAGAGCCUGAUCCAGCCAUGCCGCGUGCAGGAGACGGUCCUAUGGAUUGUAAACUGCUUUUUANACAGGAAGAACACUCCCUCGUGAGGGAAUUUGACGGUACUGUAUGAAUAAGCACCGGCUAACUCCGUGCCAGCAG
rnacentral:rRNA from 1 species